rnacentral:tRNA from 1 species
AAGCCCCGGCACCUAUUUGGGUGCGUCUUCGAACUUGCAUUUCGACGUGUUGUCACCCGCGGGG